GGGCCCCCAGGGCUUGCCGGGCGUCCCCACUGCCACGCCCUGCGAGCUCAAGGCCUUCAUCCGCCAGAGCUGCGCCUCCGUCGCCCCCUCCUGCCCCCUCUUCCCCAUGGAGCUGGUGCUGGUGCUGGAGAUGUCGGCCACCGUGUCGCCCGCCCUCUUCUCCCGCAUGAAGGACGUCCUGGCCUUCCUGCUGCGCGAGCUGCACGUCUCGCCGGGGGGCUGCCCGGCGGGGGCCCGCGUGGCCCUGCUCU